CUGCAAAAUCAUGACCUGAGUGGAAAUUGAGAGUUGGAUGCUUAACCAACUGAGCUACCCAGGUGCCCUAUCCUUGUCCAUUUUUCACAGAACUCCAUGUUAUUACUUUGUUGACCCAUGAAUUGAGCUAUAGCCGUCUUUCUCUGCUCAGGGAUUUAGCCCAAGCUGCCAAAGGGGUUCAGUUAGAAGGCAACUGGUGUGUGCCUACCCAGUGUGGCAUCCACAAGCAUCCUUCCUACCAACACCCCAGUUAAGGUUUCUCCUGUCAGAAUGAGCUCCUCUCCUGAGGGCUCCACCCCAGAGUCAUGGGGUGGCCCUAAUCUCAGGGUCUAGGUCCUGCCAUUGGGCAUUACCUCAGAUGCUCCCUGUGUUAUCUCACUGAGUAUGUUCUUUAGUUUAAGCCAUUAUGAAAAUAGAACUCAAGCAGCCUAUUUCUGCAGGCCUGAAUUUCAGGUGUGACUCUUGGGCUUAUACUUGCUAGCUGUGAGAUUUGGGACAAGUCACUUAAAAACAGACAUACAACACCUUUCUAAAUCUUGGUUUCCUUAUCUGUUGUAUGUGGGUACCAGCAGCUAACUGAAAACCAACUUUAUUUUUUUUUCUAGCAUCCCACUUGUAGGACAAAAAAAUAAAUAACAAGAAGUCAAAUUCAAUUUUGGGGGUUCUCUUAUAAGCCAAUUUUUCAAACUCACCUGUGAAGAUUUAGCCUGAACUCCUAUGCUCCUGGAACUACAUCUCUAAUUAUAACAUCCUUGUAGUUGCAGGUUUUAAGUUAAUGAAAAAGGUUUCAUGGAAGAUUUUUGUAAUCUUCACGUAAUCCUGUGGAGAACAAAUGUGAAAACAGACGCCUAUGGCUUUAAGAGAAACAGUCAUCCUGGAGCGUGUUGCAGGUGUUAAGGAAAAGAAUGUUUCUCAUGCCUUGGUUCAGGGGAUUCCCAAAGGCACACUGUGUCUGCUUCCAACAGCCCGCAGCCUUCAAGGUAAAGAAAGUGGACCCCAGAGUGGCUAAGAGAUGAGGCAAAACCAGGAUGAAUUUGAAUUCUCUAGGCGAAGCCUGCAAGAGGAGCCCACUGCUCCACUGAAUUCUCCUGUACAAGUUGAAGCUCAUGUGGAACAGAAUCUACAGUGAGAGAUACUGAAUGGUCCUUUUGUAUACUUUGAUCUGAAAGCUUCCCAACCUCUAAGGCGUAUUUUAAAAGUAGAACUAAAGAGAGAGACAGAGAUGCUGAGGAAACUGAGCCAUAAAGCAUGCUGUGCAGGUGAUACAUUGAAGAACCACUCAGCCCACAUCACACAUGUUCCUUAGCCUGCCUGCCUCCAUUGGAGGGCCAUCCCAAUAAAUCCAGAUUGCCUGCAGAGAUGAUCAUCAAAAAGUACUAUCUGCGAGAGUCAAGGUAUGGAAAUAACCUACAUGUCCGUCGACAGAUGAAUGGAUAAAGAAGAUGUGGUGUUUACAUACAGUGGAAUACUAUGCAACCUUCAAGAAAGAAGGAAGUUCUGCAAUGUGCAACAGCAUGGGGGACCUUGAGGGCAUUAUGCUAAGUGAAAUAAGCCUGCGUGAUUCCUCCUACUCAUUCUUUAUCACAACCCUGCACAGCAUUAUGAAUAGCUAACAUUUUGCAGAUGGAGUACUCAAAGCUCAGAAUGGGUAAGAAAUGUGCCAGCCAGAGCCAUCCAGCAAGCAAGGACGGAAGCUGGGAUUCAAAUAGAUUCUGAAAGCCCCUUCUAUACUAUGCUCGCAAGGGGUUCAGGUGCCCCUGGUGCUCCAGAGGACAGGAGAGUGGGCGGAGCCUAGGAUGCUGCAGGGGGUCAGGCCUGGUCCUGAGAAAGGGCCAAGGGUCCAGGGGGAGACUUGCCCAGGGAACGCAGGGUGCUGGGAUCUCUGUACCUCCCUCCUCUAGCCCCCAAUUUUGCAUCACCACCAGAUAGCUGUUUGAAAUACUACAGUUCCAAUCCCCAUGACUCUUUUGGAAUUCUUCCACCAUCCCCACGGCCUGAUAGUCCCUGUAUGGGAAAUUGUGCUUUAGAGAGAUGUCGUGAAUAUUCAGGAACAGUGAUUAUAAAUCUUUUGGCAAACAGACAGUCCUAUAGAAAUGUUAAAUAACCGUAUGUUCCCAUUUAACUACAUUUAUAGCAUUUGGAUGAAACUGAGACAUUUUGCCUCUUAUUUAGGACUUAUACUAUUCGGUAUUUGUAAAGAAAUCAUCAGCCACUUCUUACAUAAGGCAGAAGGAAAGUUCUUUUCAUCUUCAUGCCCUCUGCUCUAGAGGUUUUUGUUUUUGCUUUUGUUUUGUUUUGUUUUAUUUGUUUUUGUUUUUGUUUUUCUGUCUGCUCUGAGUGCCCUGUCGUUGGUUGCGUCUGUUACAAACAGUCUCUUAAUUUUGUGACUUACACCUAUCAAAAGACUUCAUCAAUUCAUUGUCUUUUUGAAGGCAUUUAUAGGUCAUUAAAAAAAUCUAAAUUCUGUAGAGUUAGCCUUCGUUGUAGAUGAUAACAUUUAACAUGACCUCUUUCUACAUGGUUCCAUCCUGUUGUGCAACAAUACCCUCCUCUCACCCCCAAAUUAGAGUAUGUAGCUCCAAAAUCCAAUUACCCACAUAAACUUGGGACCUGUUAUCUGGAUAAAUGAUAUCCAUAAGUGUUCCAAGAAACUUUAACCUUAAUAACUUCUUAAUAAUUAAUAGCUCUAAAUUAAUCUAAAGAGCCUUUCCCUAGAGUUGCCAAAAAACAAUACAAUUUAACUACUUUGAGAGCCUUUACUCUGUUCCCAUCCCACGCUUCCAUGAGAAGUUCCAAAGAGAUGCAGAGGAAAGGUGGAGAGUCAGAGGAGAAUGAAACGAAGUGAGGGCUGGUGAUUACAAACUGUACAAUCAACCAUCCACUUCCCUGAGCUUGAGUCUGCCUUUUACACUCUUCUUAAAGCUGGAGGUACUUCUGUUUUUUUCUCUCCUCGGUGGAGGGUCCAUGAAUAGUUUCCUUCUCCUGGAAUGCCAUUAAAUUGCAAUCAUCUUCCCUCAUAAAGUCUUUCUGGAGGCCACCAGAUAGACCGUUAUCUUUGUCACCUCCUCGCUGAUACAAUCUGUAAGGGCUCUCUCCUCUCAGAGCCCAAGGCUCACUCCCUGCUGGGUUAUAUCUGGUAGGCCCCCAGUACAGAGUUUUGGGGGGGUCUGGAGUUCAGUCAUGCCUCACCUGGCUCUUCUGCAUCUUUAGUAAACUAAGUUAGUACCAACAUGUCUUAAAGCAAUCAGGUCUUCAUUUACACCCUUUAAAUGUCGGUAGACAGUUAUCAUGGCCCUCAGUCCAGAAACAUACUAACCCCUUCUGCCUUCUCCCAGAAAAUGCACAUGAACAGUGUUCAUGUUGUUUUGGAAGACCUUAGAUGGCACCAAACAGAUUCUGAUUCCCUUGUCAACAGAAACAGAAAGUGAAUUUGUCUUACCCCGUGCACAGAGAAGCUUUUCUUCAUAGUAAUUUGUAGUGCCGCUGAUAAACAAUGGGGAGAUUGUCAAACAGCAAUCAUAAAGCAUAAAUAACAUUUAAUUUAAGCCGCCUUGUAUGCUGCUAAGAUGUCUUCUUUAACUUUUGUCUGCAAACUGUUUUCCUACCUCUAUUUCUUUUGGCUUUAUCUUCUGGUAAAAUGCAUAAAUCUAUACUUUGUAGCAAAUUUCACUACAGCAAAGUCUGAUUCCACUGCAAGUUCUUCAAGGACAGUGAUUAUAAUAGUAAUUCCUCUGUGUGUGUGUGUGUGUGUGUGUGUGUGUGUGUGUGUGUGUGUGACAGAGAGAGAGAGAGAGAGAGAGAGAGAGAACAUGUCAAAUAAGUGAGUGAAUGAAUACAUAAGUGAAUAAAUGAAUAGAAAUUGCAAAAGGGAAUCAUCAGGACAUAGGAGAUGGUAAAAUUUAAAAACAAGGAAGAAAAUCUGGUCACAUUUCCACAUUCACUGCUGAUGUUGUAUUAUGACUGAAACCAAUCCUAAAAAGGUGUGAUGACAUGUGGCAAAUUGCUGGUUUUGGAGACGAAUGGUCUUUACCUUGAAUCCUGGCCCCAUGGUCUACUGGCCUCCUAAACCCCUCUGAGCCUCAGUUUUCUCUUCUGUAUGAGGCCGUUCAAACAGCCAUAAUAUUCACCUUGCAGGAUUUAGGAUUCACAAUAGAUUAAUGUCCCAAGGGCUUGCUGCUCUGCCCACCACAGGGAGUGCUUUAUAAAUGGUGUAAUUAUCUCUGAAUGGCAUCCUAGUAAGUGUUGAAGUGAAGAAAUUUCAUAUUUUGGCUAAAGUAUGUAUUCCACAGAUCUAUUCUCUCACCUCUCCUACUUCUUACCCAUUGUUUUUUAAUCCUUUAUGUUCAUUUUACUGAAGUAAUUUCAGUUCUCCUUUCAGCAGAGGAUUCAGAGCUUCACAAUCCCCAGAGGGGAUAAAGGCCAUGUUAAGUGAUGCCUUUGUUGUAUCUUGACCAGCUUCAGAGGGGGGCAGUGGCAGAGACCCGGGCGGUCCAGGAGCCCUGCCCCGCGCUGUAUUCGGAGUCCUCUUAUAUUACCACUGUUCCUGGUUUUUGACGAUAAGACUGCACUAGAUACGUGAAAUAAAGGACAGCGUUCCAACAAUCAAAGGAUCAACUCUCAACAUAAAUAAGAAGUACAUAAAUAAUAGUAGGAGACAGGCCAGUGAACAUUUUUCAAAUUCUAAGGGAUAUCAUUUGAAUGGUCUCUCUUCCAGAAUUUCUUAUCUGAAGUUAAAAAAAGAUUCUUGGAAUCCUUUCUGCCAAUAAAACUUGGAAGUUUUGCAACAACACCAACAGGGCAAGCAACUUAGACGUGAGGCUGCCGUGUUGCCUGUAGAUUCGGCCCGGGUCCCACCCUGUUUGUCCCAUGGAACCAAAUCUGCACAACUAGGAUUACCCUGCACACCACCACAACUGACAAGAGGGCCAAGAACAGACAAAGGAGCCGGGAGUUCAAUUGUCUAAGCAGGGGUUGGAGAUGUCUCUGCAAGACAGGCUACUUGGCAUAGUUGGGAGCCCUGGAGCUGCCGUAAGCACAGGGCACGAGGCCCCCGGACGGAGAAAUCGCUGAGCCAGGCCCUGUGGUCAGCUGUACAAGAACUGCCUCAUUUAAGCCUCAAAAAGCCCCACAGAAGGAGCAGUAUGUGAAGAGUAAUGGGGACCAAAGAGACUAAUAAGGAGACAAAGAGAGACAAGGCCAUGGCAAAAGCAGAGGCUGCAGAAGUAAGUAGAAAUCACCAUCCAUGG